rnacentral:hammerhead_ribozyme from 1 species
AUCCACUUGACGAGUCCCAAAUAGGAUGAAACACGCGUCCUGCAU